rnacentral:tRNA from 1 species
GCUUACCUAGUUCAAUCGGUAGAACAAAGUACUUCUAAUACUUUUAUCUAGGUUCGAAACCUAGGGUAAGCU